rnacentral:rRNA from 1 species
UACGAAGGGAGCUAGCGUUGUUCGGAAUCACUGGGCGUAAAGCGCACGUAGGCGGAUGUGUCAGUCAGGGGUGAAAUCCCGGAGCUCAACUUCGGAACUGCCUUUGAUACAGCACAUCUGGAGUCCGGAAGAGGUGGGUGGAAUUCCUAGUGUAGAGGUGAAAUUCGUAGAUAUUGGGAAGAACACCAGUGGCGAAGGCGGCUAACUGGUCCAGUACUGACGCUGAGGUGCGAAAGCGUGGGGAGCAAACAGG